rnacentral:lncRNA from 1 species
UUGGUGAUAUUUUAAUGAAAUAGGUAUUUUCCAUUUUAAUUAAGUGUUGAUAGACUAAUUAUUUAGUUGUUAUUCUCUUUAAAGACCUACAGUUUGCUGCUCUACAGUUAGGAGAGUCUGGGACUUCCAAGCUAAACAAUGCUACAUUGACUUAUGGGCAUUCAGUAUUACUAGAGAAAAGAGAUGCAAAGUUUGAGAUAUGCACUGUGAAAUCUGAGUUCAAGGAAUCUGACAGGCGGCACCAAGGCACUGACCCUAUUCUGUGUGGACCGACGUUUCCAGAUGCUGAGGAAGGAAGUCCUAACCUUGAUCCCAACAUAACUCUGGAACAACGUAUUUAUUAACAUCAAAUUUUAGAUAAAAAUACAAAGUCAGAA